GAACCCGUGUGCAUGUGUGUGUGGGUGUGUGUGUGUGAGUAACGCAUCUUCUCUAGCGAGGAUCUUGGUGAGGAGCCAGGGCAGUCAACACAGGUGGAGAUCAUCAGCCUCAUCAGGGGUUGGGAAUAAAGGAGCUGCAGAUUCUUCAAUCAGUGCUGGAGGAUUAACGCUACCGGUUUCAUCAAGGAGAUUUCCUAGAAGGAGUUGUCCAUCUGUUUUCACCUUCCAAGUCUCUCACCUGCGAAGAAUCUGCCUGCCUGCUCUGCCCAUUCCCAGCCAUCAUUUAACGCCUUCUGGACCUUUGGCUCACAUUACCUUCACCAAACUCCACACGGGUUUCAGGACAACCUUCCCCCCACAGUUCACCAGAACCGUCAUACGAGUGCCGCCAUUUGUGGAUCACUUCCAUUAUCCAGAGACGCUACGUGGACCUGUCAUUGUGUUUGAUCUUUUGUUAAUAAAUCCCUUUUACUAGACUUGGACUUGUUGAGUCUGCAUGUGGGUCAAAAGAUUAGAGUCGAUCAU